GGCUAUAAUUAGCUUACAGCAAUGUUUAUUUCCCAAACCGGUUUGACAUAUUUUUACAAAUGGCCAAUCACAUGCGAGAUUCAAAUUCUGAACCUAAUCAAGUGUGGAAGUGGGAUUUGCAAUCGAUGUCACCCUGGGCCUUACACAGCGGAGGAGAGGGGGCGGCAGGGGACAACUGCCCCCCUAAAGAAAACUGUAUUUACAAUUUUUAGAUUGUCAUUGUUAAUUAUUCUUUGCAUAUUUGGGACUUUUUUCAACAUAUAAGCCUUACUGCCCCCUUGGUGAUACGGCCCUGAUGUGACCAGAGGCUCUCCGUUCUCACAUCUUGUUUCUUUCACCUUGCAAAGAGCCUCUGGAACCAGGGUACUCUUAAAGUAACACACAGACAAAGCAAAUAAUAUAAUGCUUUUAAAAAUCUUCAAUUUCAAAAGAGGCAGUAAAUUGGUAGGGAAAUCUUUCAAUAAUAUCCUGUGGUUAUGGUAAACUAUGUACCGGUACCAGACAAUAUAAAUCCCUGCCUGCUCAAAUCUAGGAAGUGUGGGGGCCAUUGGGCAAAGCAGGGUCACUGAAGGCCUGUUUAUAUGAUCCUGCCUAGACGGGAUGUUUUCAUCCCGCCUAGAUGGGAAAUUCGCCUAGUGUUUAUAUGGACAAAAUACAUUGCCUGGAUGAAGCCAUUUAAGUGAGCUUGACGUCAUAUUUUUGUUGCAAUAAAGGCAUUUACGCAUGCUCAAAAGGGAAAAGUUCAUACCACCUAGCUGGGAUGAAGUGUUUAUAUGGGAAUUUUUCGUUCCAGCUAGGCGGGAUGAAGUGUUUGUAUGGGAAUUUUUCAUCUCGUUUAGGCGGGAUCC